rnacentral:rRNA from 1 species
GAUGAACGCUGGCGGCGUGCCUAAUACAUGCAAGUCGAACGAAGCCUUCGGGCUUAGUGGCGAACGGGUGAGUAACACGUUGGUACCUACCCUCUAGUGGGGAAUAACUGGCCGAAAGGUCGGCUAAUACCGCAUAAUACCGCAAGGUUAAAGCAGCAAUGCGCUAGAGGAGGGGCCUGCGUCCCAUUAGCUUGUUGGUAGUGUAAUGGACUACCAAGGCGACGAUGGGUAGCUGGAUCGAGAGGUUGACCAGCCACACUGGGACUGAGAUACGGCCCAGACUCCUACGGGAGGCAGCAGUAAGGAAUCUUCCACAAUGGACGAAAGUCUGAUGGAGCAACGCCGCGUGCAGGAUGACGGCCUUCGGGUUGUAAAUUGCUUUUAUAUGGGAAGAUUAUGACGGUACCAUAUGAAUAAGGACCGGCUAACUACAUGCCAGCCGCCGCGGUAA